rnacentral:rRNA from 1 species
UAGGGAAUCUUCGGCAAUGGGGGGAACCCUGACCGAGCAACGCCGCGUGAGUGAAGAAGGAUUUCGGAUCGUAAAGCUCUGUUGUUAAGGAAGAACGAGUGUGAGAAUGGAAAGUUCAUGCUGUGACGGUACUUAACCAGAAAGGGACGGCUAACUACGUGCCAGCAGCCGCGGUAAUACGUAGGUCCCGAGCGUUGUCCGGAUUUAUUGGGCGUAAAGCGAGCGCAGGCGGUUAGAAAAGUCUGAAGUGAAAGGCAGUGGCUCAACCAUUGUAUGCUUUGGUAACUGUUUAACUUGAGUGCAGAAGGGGAGAGUGGAAUUCCAUGUGUAGCGGUGAAAUGCGUAGAUAUAUGGAGGAACACCGGUGGCGAAAGCGGCUCUCUGGUCUGUAACUGACGCUGAGGCUCGAAAGCGUGGGGAGUGAACAGG